GACGAACGCUGGCGGCGUGCCUAACACAUGCAAGUCGAACGGGGAGUUAGCAAUAACUCCUAGUGGCGAACGGGUGAGUAACGCGUAGACAACCUGCCUCUAAACUGGGGACAACACCGCGAAAGUGGUGCUAAUACCGAAUGUGGUAACUUGAUCGCAUGAUCGAGUUAAGAAAGAUGGCCUCUAUUUAUAAGCUAUCGAUUAGAGAUGGGUCAUCGUCUGAUUAGCUAGUUGGUGAGGUAAUGGCUCACCAAGGCGACGAUCAGUAGCCGGUCUGAGAGGAUGAACGGCCACACUGGGACUGAGACACGGCCCAGACUCCUACGGGAGGCAGCAGUGGGGAAUCUUCCGCAAUGGACGAAAGUCUGACGGAGCAACGCCGCGUGAGUGAAGAAGGUCUUCGGAUUGUAAAGCUCUGUCGUUUGGGACGAACGUGGGUAGUGUGAAUAAUGCUAUCUAAUGACGGUACCAAAGGAGGAAGCCACGGCUAACUACGUGCCAGCCGCCGCAGUAA
rnacentral:rRNA from 1 species